rnacentral:rRNA from 1 species
ACGCUCGACACCUACGGGAGGCAGCAGUGGGGAAUAUUGCACAAUGGGGGAAACCCUGAUGCAGCGACGCCGCGUGAAGGAAGAAGUAUCUCGGUAUGUAAAACUUCUAUCAGCAGGGAAGAAAAUGACGGUACCUGACUAAGAAGCCCCGGCUAACUACGUGGCAGCAGCCGCGGUAAUCUGAGCGGGCUGGCAAGGC